rnacentral:rRNA from 1 species
AUACGUAGGGAGCGAGCGUUGUCCGGAAUUACUGGGUGUAAAGGGCGUGCAGCCGGGACGGCAAGUCAGAUGUGAAAUCCAUGGGCUUAACCCAUGAACUGCAUUUGAAACUGUCGUUCUUGAGUACCGGAGGGGCAAUCGGAAUUCCUAGUGUAGCGGUGAAAUGCGUAGAUAUUAGGAGGAACACCAGUGGCGAAGGCGGAUUGCUGGACGGCAACUGACGGUGAGGCGCGAAAGUGUGGGGAGCAAACAGGAUUAGAUACCCUGGUAGUCCACGCUGUAAACGAUGAAUACUAGGUGUGGGGGGACUGACCCCCUCCGUGCCGCAGUUAACACAAUAAGUAUUCCACCUGGGGAGUACGAUCGCAAGAUUGAAACUCAAAUGAAUUGGCGGGG